rnacentral:rRNA from 1 species
AUGGAUUGGGGUCGCCAAGAGCAACGAGGUCAUCGCCGCCGACCUACGCGCCACGAGCCGGUGGGCGAGCCCGGCAUGCCGGCGCUGCACGCGUGCGCGUUCUACGCCAAGCGGCUGGCGCGCGACGGCGACGUCUUCAUGUACAGAGGGGACACACCCUUCUGCAUCAAGGGGUGCCGGCACGAGCAGAAAAACAAGUCAUCAAUCCCGUAA